rnacentral:misc_RNA from 1 species
AAGUCGUAACAAGGUAACCGUAGGUGAACCUGCGGUUGGAUCAUUAAAAAGAUCUGACAACCUGAGCCUUGUGCCCUUGUUGUCAUCAAAACCCACAUUCAUGUGAACCGUUUGUCUCUGGCGGCCGGGGAGUUGGUCAUGCCACUUUGUUGUUGGUGAUGCCCCUCCCUGUCAGCUUGGGCGACCAAGCCGUGGACAAACCGCCAACCGACCACUUAACAAAACCUUUAAAUAUUACCACAUCUGACAUAAACUUGUAUUUUAAUAUGCAAACAACUUUUGGCAACGGAUCUCUUGGCUCUC